AGGCAAGGCCGAAAUUUGGGCUGGGCCGCAUAUUGAAACCAUUCACACAAAAUGGAUCCCGGUCAUAAAAGAGCAGUGGCUGAUCCUAGUCACUAAAGCUGAACCACAUGUGCAGUCACUAAGUACCAAAGCGCUGGAGAUUUAUGAAUCAUCUAAAAUUGCAGCAAUGCCACAUGUUAUAAAAGUUCAAGAACUCGCAGAUCCUUAUUUUCAGGAAAUUAAGAAGUACAGCAAACCAUAUAUUGACCAAGUUGCCACUGCUGCAAGACCAUGUUGAUAAUGUACGAGUUGUCCUGAAGCCUUAUACUGAGCAAGCUUUUCAUGUUUAUGGAAAGUUUCUUGAGUCUGCCAGUACUUAUCAUCAUCAGGUUCAGGGCACUGUCCAAGAAAAGCUGCAGAUGCAUGAUCUUACAAGACCUCUUGCCACAAAAGAGCUAGUGUGGUUUAUUGCUUCUGCUCUGUUGGCUUUACCCAUCAUAGCUGGAUUUAAAAUCUGUUCAGCUAUUUGCUGGAAAAAAACAAAACAUUCCAAUCGACAUGGCCAUUCAAACCAUUUGCGUCGCAGGGCUAAACGGAGUCAUCCAGACAAGUGAUGCCUAGUGAAUUUCAUGCUUUAUGAAUUCAAGGUAUGCCUCUGUACUUCAAGGGAAGCAUUUCACUGCACAAAUUCAAACAUGUACUCCAGCAUGCGCAGCUGUUUGUAAUAACUGUAUAGAUUUUGUCUACGCCUGAGAUGUUACACUACUGAAAUUGCUCCCAUUUAAGGAUGUUACUUUUGAUUGCUGCAGUUGCAUGUUUAAUAUUAAAGGUACAUAUGCACCAAGUAUUUUCAGCAUUUA